rnacentral:tRNA from 1 species
CCCUGGUUAGCUCAGUUGGUAGAGCGCUCCACCUGUAAUGGAGAGGUCCCGGGUACCCGGACCAGGCG